AUGAACGCUAGCUACAGGCUUAACACAUGCAAGUCGAGGGGCAGCAUGAACUUAGCUUGCUAAGUUUGAUGGCGACCGGCGCACGGGUGAGUAACACGUAUCCAACCUGCCGAUGACUCGGGGAUAGCCUUUCGAAAGAAAGAUUAAUACUCGAUGGCAUAGUUCUUCCGCAUGGUAGAGCUAUUAAAGAAUUUCGGUCAUCGAUGGGGAUGCGUUCCAUUAGGUUGUUGGCGGGGUAACGGCCCACCAAGCCUUCGAUGGAUAGGGGUUCUGAGAGGAAGGUCCCCCACAUUGGAACUGAGACACGGUCCAAACUCCUACGGGAGGCAGCAGUGAGGAAUAUUGGUCAAUGGACGAGAGUCUGAACCAGCCAAGUAGCGUGAAGGAUGACUGCCCUAUGGGUUGUAAACUUCUUUUAUACGGGAAUAAAGUGAGGCACGUGUGCCUUUUUGUAUGUACCGUAUGAAUAAGGAUCGGCUAACUCCGUGCCAGCAGCCGCGGUAAUACGGAGGAUCCGAGCGUUAUCCGGAUUUAUUGGGUUUAAAGGGAGCGUAGGCGGACGCUUAAGUCAGUUGUGAAAGUUUGCGGCUCAACCGUAAAAUUGCAGUUGAUACUGGGUGUCUUGAGUACAGUAGAGGCAGGCGGAAUUCGUGGUGUAGCGGUGAAAUGCUUAGAUAUCACGAAGAACUCCGAUUGCGAAGGCAGCCUGCUGGACUGUAACUGACGCUGAUGCUCGAAAGUGUGGGUAUCAAACAGGAUUAGAUACCCUGGUAGUCCACACAGUAAACGAUGAAUACUCGCUGUUUGCGAUAUACAGUAAGCGGCCAAGCGAAAGCGUUAAGUAUUCCACCUGGGGAGUACGCCGGCAACGGUGAAACUCAAAGGAAUUGACGGGGGCCCGCACAAGCAGUGGAGUAUGUGGUUUAAUUCGAAGCAACGCGAAGAACCUUACCAGGGCUUGACAUAUAAGUGAAUAAUUAAGAGAUUAAUUAGUUCUUCGGAACACUUAUACAGGUGGUGCAUGGUUGUCGUCAGCUCGUGCCGUGAGGUGUCGGCUUAAGUGCCAUAACGAGCGCAACCCCUGUUUCUAGUUGCCAGCACGUCAAGGUGGGAACUCUAGAAAGACUGCCGUAGAUAAUACGGAGGAAGGUGGGGAUGACGUCAAAUCAUCAUGCCCCUUAUGACCUGGGCUACACACGUGCUACAAUGGCGCAUACAAAGAGAAGCGACCUCGCGAGAGCAAGCGGACCUCAUAAAGUGCGUCGUAGUCCGGAUUGGAGUCUGCAACUCGACUCCAUGAAGUCGGAAUCGCUAGUAAUCGUGGAUCAGAAUGCCACGGUGAAUACGUUCCCGGGCCUUGUACACACCGCCCGUCAAGCCAUGAAAGCCGGGGGUACCUGAAGUGCGUAACCGCAAGGAGCGCCCUAGGGUAAAACUGGUGAUUGGGGCU
rnacentral:rRNA from 1 species